rnacentral:misc_RNA from 1 species
CGCGGCAGCGUGGUCGAUCCCAUCAGGAACUGAUCGAUCGCAGCGGCGCACUGGCGGCCUUCGCGGAUCGCCCAGACGACAAGUGACUGUCCGCGGCGCAUGUCGCCCGAGGAGAACACCUUCGCGACCGAGGUCUGGUAGUUAUUGGUCGAGGCACGCACGUUGCCGCGCGGGUCCAGUUCGACGCCGAGCUUCUUCAGCAGGCCCUCGUGCACCGGAUGGACGAAGCCCAUCGCCAGNCAGUUCGGCCUUGAUUUCAAACUCGGUGCCCGGCACCGGCUGGAACUUGUCGUCCACGCGAACGCAAUGCAGUUUCGCGACCUUGCCAUCGUGGCCGGAGAACUUCUGCGUCAGCACGGCGUAUUCGCGGAUCGCGCCUUCGGCCUGGCUUGAUGAGGUGCGCAUCUUCAAUGGCCAGUUCGGCCAGGACAGCCCCUUGUUCUCGCGCUCCGGCGGGGCCGGCAUGAUUUCAAGCUGCGUGACGGACUUCGCGCCCUGACGGAU